rnacentral:lncRNA from 1 species
ACAGUCAUGACCUUGAUAUAUAGGUUCAGAUAGUGUCCAGAUUGGAAUCCUGAUGCUAAAGACUUAGUAAGACACACACAAAAAAAGAGUUGAGAAUUACUUAGGGCUAGGGCUAUCUAGGUGCUACAAGGACAGCACAAGGACAUCUGCUGUUACAAUACAAAGCUUAUAGAGAAUUCAGAACUGCCAUUGACUCAGAUAUAAAAAGAGUGAAAGACUUUUUAGCUGACCUCCAAGAAUACCUAACCUCCCUCUCAGAGGUAGUCCUUCAAAAUAAGAAAAGAUUAGACCUGAUAUUCCUUAAAGAAGGAGCCUGUGUGCUGCACUGAAAGAAUGUUGCUUCUAUACAGACCAUUCAGGAGUAAUUAAAGACUCCAUAAAUAAACUUAGAGAAAGGUUAGACAAAAGACAGACAGAAAAACACAUCAGAGAUGGUUCAAGAGCUAGUUUAGUAGAUCUCCCUGGAUGACUACCCUACUCUCUGCUACAGCUGGGCCAUUAUUAAUAAUUUUCUUGGUUUUAGUUUUUGGCCCCUGCGUGACAAACAGGUUGAUUGCUUUUGUUAAAAAUCGAGUGGGUGCUGUGCGGUUGAUGGUUGUGAGACAACAGUACCAGUCAGUUAGGACAACUGGUGAGACCAAAUACGAGACUUGAUAUCAAAAUUCUAAGAUUAGAAUUAUUUAGUAGGAGAAGACGGGAA